UCUGCCAUCAGGUCUGGCACAACCACUGGAAACGGUGGCUAAUACCGGAUGUGCCCUUCGGGGUGAAAGGUUAACUGCCUGUUGAUGAGCUCGCGUCUGAUUAGCUAGUUGGUGUGGUAAGAGCGCACCAAGGCGACGAUCAGUAGCUGGUCUGAGAGGACGAUCAGCCACACUGGGACUGAGACACGGCCCAGACUCCUACGGGAGGCAGCAGUGGGGAAUUUUCCGCAAUGGGCGAAAGCCUGACGGAGCAAUACCGCGUGAGGGAGGAAGGCUCUUGGGUCGUAAACCUCUUUUCUCAGGGAAGAACACAAUGACGGUACCUGAGGAAUAAGCAUCGGCUAACUCCGUGCCAGCAGCCGCGGUAAUACGGAGGAUGCAAGCGUUAUCCGGAAUGAUUGGGCGUAAAGCGUCCGCAGGUGGCUAUGUAAGUCUGCUGUUAAAGAGUCUAGCUCAACUAGAUAAGAGCAGUGGAAACUACAAGGCUAGAGUGCGUUCGGGGCAGAGGGAAUUCCUGGUGUAGCGGUGAAAUGCGUAGAGAUCAGGAAGAACACCAGUGGCGAAGGCGCUCUGCUAGGCCGCAACUGACACUGAGGGACGAAAGC
rnacentral:rRNA from 1 species